UGUAACUUCUAAUCUGAGAAAAAGGAAGUGGAGUAGCGGAAGAGACGAUCAAUAGUUUAGCGCAGUGGUCAUCAUCGCAAACUCCGCUCGGCUUAUGAUCCCUGAAACCAAAGUUGAAUCAUUGCCGAUGAGGCCCGCGGGUUAGUGUUUCUGAUACUUUGAAGGCGAUUACGAAUCUGCUUGUCGAUGGUGGAGAUGAUCGUUUCCGGUGACUUGAAGACUUGUUGGUGAAGUCUAGAGUUACGCUCAGUCCAAAUCCAGUAGACGGUGGCUUGUACAACUAACAGAGUAAGUCGGCGAGAGUCUCUAUUCGUGCUUAGGGCCUGCAGUUGAUUUAUGGUGUCGUCCCAAGAGGAGAGUGGCGGAAGCUGGCAUCUAGUAGCAAUCCGAGUCCAGAUGCGAUUGCUGUAGGAACAUCCAAAGAAAAGGGCAUCGGUCAAGCACUACCAGCCAAGUGAGAAAACUGUGGCGAGGAAUACCAUAAGAGAACCACAAAAUCUUCGCCCAUGGGACAGGAGGUCGGACCCCCUGAGGGUCACAGUAGUCAAGUGAAUCUGCACAGCGAGGUGAUUCUCAGUUCUGGCUGGGGGGAGGCGCCAGGCUCCUUCACUGAAAAGAGAUGCGACUGUCGCUGCUCUUGAAAUGCCUAACCGGGAGGAGUUAGCAUUGAGAUAAGUAUAUAGAUUCCCGAGAGGAGACCAGUUGUCAAACCAGAACCGAGUAGUCGCUCCAUUUCCAAGUCUUCUUUUCAACAGCGCCAGGCUCCUUCACUGAAAAGAAAUCACUACAAGAAAACAGGGGGAUUCUGAUGGCCGAAA